GUAAAUGUUUCUUCUCCAAUUGGAUGAUGAUAAGACUGUGACACGGGAUGCCACCUUUAGUCUUGUGAUGAAGCAAAGCUCAGGAAGAAGUGUGAUUAAAUGGUACCCACAUGUGUGCUGCUGAGAAGGAUGUACAGGGGCACCUGCAGCCAAAUCCAAGCCUCCUCAGCAACUUCAAGUCUGUCAGCGUGCUGAGGUCACAGAAACAAGAAAAGCAGCUUCAGACUUCAGAGUGUUGUUUACAGUUUUCUGUCAUCAUGAUCUCCCCUGAAGUUUAUCAAGCAAGCAGAGCGGCAGUUUGUGCUCACAGAUGGUGACGGUGUGGAGAGACGGUGGUGUUUCCUCAGAAGAACUAGCAGAGUCACAAAGGGCACGAGUCCAUCUCACCACCUUGACUUGCUGACUGAUGCUCGUCUGCACUGCACAGAGGAAAUCAACUGACCGAGGAAUGGAGAAAUGGAAUCAAAGGGAGAUAUUUUUGAUGUUUUUGUAAUGAUGUAAGUAAAUCUCCAGUUUCUGAGUGAGGGAGAGAGGAGUCAUCAUCCAGGUAAAGUGACGUGGAUCAGUGGAUACACUUGUCUCUCCUUUAAAGAAGAUACUCUUAGAGAGAGACGAUCCGAGUCAUCCCUAAAUAUGGACAGGAUAUCAGUCUUGGACUGUCUAACCUGCCGGAGCAGCACUGAAUGAUCACCACACAUGAUCAGUUCCUGCAACAUUCAGCAGCUCUGCUUUUGUGUCAAAUGUCAAACAGCUGGAGAGGAAACUACACCAGUGUACUGGGAUGUUUCACCAACACGUGCCAGACGCUGUUCCUUCAUGGUGACAUCACCAGAGACGGCCCGCCCACCUCAGGACCUCGCCAUUGAUCAUGAUGAUUAUAAUGAUGACAGCGAGCGGAACUAAGACUGUAAAAAUCCACGACCAGAAUGUUUAGAUGCUUUCUAAUUAUUAAUGAAUACUGAGAGCCUCUUUCUGUGUUUUGUCUGUUUUGUUUUGUUUUGUGUUUUACCUCAUUUGUUACUAACAAAGUUCACCAAACUCACACAGUUUACAUUCUGUAUGUUUCCAUCUUUACCAGCCACACUCUUAACUGCAAUUAAGCAAAUAAUCCUUAGAAAUCGUCGUUUUUCUCUUUUGUAAUUUUGUAAUUCAGUGAAUAUACUGCACUGCUUCCUUUUAUUGCGUCUCACAUUGCUUUAAGUUUUUCAGUGUUCAGUUAUUUUUUACUGUUGUUUGAAUUCUCUGUAUGUUUGACCCUGUAGACUGUUUGAUGGACUGCUUGUCUUCCUGUUUGUAGCCGCCGCCUGUUUUUGACUAAAGAUUUGGAUUUGUGACUUUAACACAGCCUCUGCGUGUCCUCCCUUUGUGUCCUCUUCCUCUGUGAAUGUGUUGCAUGUGUCACAGAUUCAUUUAUUAACAGCUUUCCCACAGUCAGUUGCAUCAGCAUUCAUU